rnacentral:rRNA from 1 species
AAAUCAGUUAUGGUUCACUAGAUCGUAUUACCUACACGGAUAACUGUGGUAAUUCUAGAGCUAAUACGUGCAAACAGUUCGUUCCCUCGUGGAGCGAGCGCAGUUAUUAGAACAAAACCAAUCCGGCCUUCGGGUCGGUUAAAAUGGUGACUCUGAAUAACCGAAGCGGAGCGUAUGGUCUCGUACCGACGCCAGAUCUUUCAAGUGACUGCUCUAUCAGCUUGUUGCUAGGUUAUGCUCCUAGCAAGGCUUCAACGGGUAACGGGGUAUCAGGGUCUGAUACCGGAGAGGGAGCCUGAGAAACGGCUACCACAUCCAAGGAAGGCAGCAGGCGCGCAAAUUACCCACUCCCAGCACGGGGAGGUAGUGACGAAAAAUAACGAUGCGAGGGCUUAUUGCUUCUCGUAAUCGGAAUGGGUACACUUUAAAUCCUUUAACGAGGAUCUAUUGGAGGGCAAGUCUGGUGCCAGCAGCCGCGGUAAUUCCAGCUCCAAUAGCGUAUAUUAAAGUUGCUGCGGUUAAAAAGCUCGUAGUUGGAUCUGGGCAGUUGGAUGGGUGGUGCGCUUUACGCGCUACUGCUUGUUCGGCGCCACAAGCCGAUCUUGUCUUGCAUGCUCUUCACUGAGUGUGCUUGGCGAUCGGAACGUUUACUUUGAAAAAAUUAGAGUGCUCAAAGCAAGCGUAUGGCUUUGAAUAAUGGUGCAUGGAAUGAUGGAAUAGGACCUCGGUUCUAUUUUGUUGGUUAUCGGAGUCGAGGUAAUGAUUAAGAGGAACAGACGGGGACAUUCGUAUUCCGGCGUUAGAGGUGAAAUUCUUGGAUCGUCAGAAGACGAACUACUGCGAAAGCAUUUGUCAAGAAUGUUUUCAUUAAUCAAGAACGAAAGUUAGAGGUUC